GAUGAACGCUGGCGUCGUGCCUAAUACAUGCAAGUCGAGCGAACGGACGAGAAGCUUGCUUCUCUGAUGUUAGCGGCGGACGGGUGAGUAACACGUGGAUAACCUACCUAUAAGACUGGGAUAACUUCGGGAAACCGUAGCUAAUACCGGAUAAUAUUUUGAACCGCAUGGUUCAAAAGUGAAAGACGGUCUUGCUGUCACUUAUAGAUGGAUCCGCGCUGCAUUAGCUAGUUGGUAAGGUAACGGCUUACCAAGGCAACGAUGCAUAGCCGACCUGAGAGGGUGAUCGGCCACACUGGAACUGAGACACGGUCCAGACUCCUACGGGAGGCAGCAGUAGGGAAUCUUCCGCAAUGGGCGAAAGCCUGACGGAGCAACGCCGCGUGAGUGAUGAAGGUCUUCGGAUCGUAAAACUCUGUUAUUAGGGAAGAACAUAUGUGUAAGUAACUGUGCACAUCUUGACGGUACCUAAUCAGAAAGCCACGGCUAACUACGU
rnacentral:rRNA from 1 species